rnacentral:rRNA from 1 species
GAUGAACGCUAGCUACAGGCUUAACACAUGCAAGUCGAGGGGAAACGACAUCGAAAGCUUGCUUUUGAUGGGCGUCGACCGGCGCACGGGUGAGUAACGCGUAUCCAACCUGCCCACCACUUGGGGAUAACCUUGCGAAAGUAAGACUAAUACCCAAUGAUAUCCCACGAAGGCAUCCGAAUGGGAUUAAAGAUUUAUCGGUGAUGGAUGGGGAUGCGUCUGAUUAGCUUGUUGGCGGGUAACGGCCCACAAGGCAACGAUCGGUAGGGGUUCUGAGAGGAGGGUCCCCCACAUUGGAACUGAGACACGGUCCAAACUCCUACGGGAGGCAGCAGUGAGGAAUAUUGGUCAAUGGACGUAAGUCUGAACCAGCCAAGUAGCGUGCAGGAUGACGGCCCUAUGGGUUGUAAACUGCUUUUANGUGGGAAUAAAGUCAGGGACGUGUCCCUGUUUGCAUGUACCACAGGAAUAAGGACUGGCUAAUUCCGUG